GGGACUGUUUAAGAAUCCCAACAAAUUACCAGAACCUGGUCCACCUGUCCUCCCGCGCCACCUGCCCACCAAAUGAAUUCCGAGGGGAGGUCACUAAUCAGAAACACACCCACACCCUCGUGACGGGGCCAAGCUGCCAAGCUGACACUUAGCGAGCAAGUACGGACCUCUCCUCGCAGGCUCCGGUGGGAAAGGCUCCUGGAAGGGCGCGAGCCAGGAAAGUAGAUGAAGUGAAGAGAUGAAGACUGCGUGGGGUAGUUGUUGGAAAAGCUCGGAUCAUCCCCAACCCAGCCCCGUCUUGUCCGGCCCCAAAAGGCCCAUCUCGGCCGAGCUACUCACACUUUGUACGGCAGCCGUGGGUCCGACGUCAGCGUGAUCUUAAAGGAAACCUUCGACCUGAGGAAAAGAGCGGGAGAGAGUCAGGGUCGGGCAGCUGGACCAGGAAUUAUGGCAGUCGAUUGAUGUCAGAGUGGGAUUCAAAGUAGAACUUCAGUGACUCCAAGGAGCACCAAGUCACCAAAAGUUGGCCUUCUGUAUCCAUGAGUUCCAUAUGAGUGGAUUCAACCAACUGUAGAUUGCCAAAAGAUAAAAACAAGCAAGAAAGCAAACAAAUAAAAGUAACAACAAAAUUUAAGAACCCCUUGCAUGGAAGGAUGCUUAUUUCCUCUGGACUGAAAGAUGGCAUCAGAAGUGGGAUCUAAAGUAAAGCUUCUAACAAUCCCCAUGAGCACUGAGUGACCAAGCAAGGUACACGCCAGGCCUGUUCUGUCUGUUGCUCUCACAGAGGAGCUGGGGAUCGUGGAGGUUCAUGACAGGAUGAAAAGAAACCUGAGAAGCACUCUUGAAGAGAGGUUUCUGAAUAACUUUCGAAUCAUAUCAUUUGGACUGGGUAUGAUGAGACCAAAAGACCAGGAGACAACUGCCAAAGGUUAUUAUAACUCCAGAUCCAAAGGGAAAGGGACACAUGACACUAUGGGGGAGACACAUGGAAAAGCACCAAGGUUGGUCAGGAGGAAGAUGGACUGUGCUGAAAAUGCAGAUAACAGUGUUGAGGCAGAGAAGUUUCAUAAUCUGCCUAAGAUCAUUGCAUUUACAAGUGACGAACCCACUGCACAAAUUUUGGCAAUGACAGAAACUUCAUCUGCAUUGGCUUCGGCAAAGCAGAAAUUUAUUAGCUUACAAGGGAGAGUGGAUUGUCAUUGAGACAUAUGUUCUGCUUACGUGGAGAGUAACUUGAGCAACGUUACCCACCUCUAUGUGGAAACACAGGUUUAUUUAAAUGGAACUUCACGGACCUUGGAGAAGCAUACUCCAAACACUACAAAUGAUGGUUAUACUUUGGAGAGAUGCUAAGACAGCAGAUGCUAAAAUCCAGAUACCUUUUGUGAAUAUGAGGCAUAUCUACUGGGAACACAUCAUAAUAAUCUGUUGAGGUAAACAUUAAAGAUGGUGGCAAUAAGCAGUUGGAGAAAAAGAAAAAUAUCAACAUGCAAGGCACCAUUGUUUUCUUGCUUCUUAAUUGUAACUUUUUAUUUUUUGUGUAUAUGGCUAUCACAGAGAUUUAAAAAUUAAUCAUUGAAAAUCAUUAAUAGAAUCGACCUGUGAGCAUCAACACAGAAAUGGAUAAAGAAAAUGUGUUAUAUACACAGUGGGAUACCAUUAAGCCUAAAAAUGAAGGAAAUCUUGUUAUUCACAGCAACAUGGGUGAGCCUGGGGGGGCAUUAUGUUCAGUGAAAUAAGUCAGGCACAGAAAGAUAAAUAUCACCUGUUCUCACUUAUAUGUGAGAGCUUAAAGAAGCUCAGCUUAUAAAAGUAGAGGGUAGAAUUGUUUAGUAUUAGAGGCUUGGAAUGGUAGGGAGGAGAAGAUAGCUAGAAGUUGGUUAACAGACACAAAAUUGUCUAGAUGGAGAGAAAGUUCCAGUGUGCCAUAGCACUGUAGGGUGACUAUAGUUAACCAUAAUCUACCAUAUUUUCCAAUAGCAGGAAGAGAGAACUUUGAAUGUUUGAAGUGCUGGACAUUCUUACUACUCUGAGUUGAUUAUUACACAUUGCACACAUGCAUCAAAACAUCACUCUGUAUCCUACAAAUAUGUACAAUAUUACGUGUUAACUCAAAAUAAGAAAAAAUGAAAUCUUGAUUUAUUAUUAUCUAAUUUCAGUAUUUUACCACUUUCCCCCAAAUGCAAAAGCAAUUUAGUACUAUUUUUCAGCAUCCCAUUGUCUUGUAUUUUACUAUACAUUUUAUGAAUCUGAUACUACAUGUAUUUUUUCCCUAGUAUUGAUUUACAUAUACCUACACACAUCCGUACUUUCACCUGGGAUUCCUUUGUUUUAGUCCUUUAGUAUUCACUUUAGAGAAGAUCUGCAAGUUGUGAAUUCCCUUAGCAUAUGAUUGUCUCUAUUAUAUGCUAAAAGAAUAUGAUAGAAUAAAUAAAAGAAUAUGUUUUUCAUUUUGAAGGAUAUUUUCACAGAGUAUAGAUUUUGAGGGGUUUAUAUUUACUUUUAAUAUUUUAAAGAUAUCAUUCACUUAUCUUCCAGCUUCCAUCGUUUUUGACAAAAAUUUAAACAUCAGUCUUGAUUUUCCUUUGAAGAUACUAUGAUUUUCUAACUGCUUUAAAAUGUUUCCCUUUGUCUUUGAUAUUCAGCAAUUUGACUAGGACAUAUCUAGAUGUGGUCAUCUUUAUAUGUGUCCAAAUGAGUUUCGCUGCGCUUUAUAAACAUGAAUUGAUAAUUUUAUCUGAUUUGAAAAAUUCUAGACAAAUACUUUAUCAAAUAUUGUUCCUAUUCCAUGCUCGUCUCUCUUUCUGAGCAAUAACUAUAAUUCAAACUAUUUUAUCAUGUUCCAAAUAUCUCUUACUUUAUGUUACUGUUUUCUUCCCUGCUUCGGUAUGUAAAAUUUUUAUUGACUUAUCUUUGGGGUCACUAAUUCUUUAUUCUGUUGUACCUAAUUUUUAAUAUUAAAAAUUUUUAAUUUUAAUUUUAAUAUUAAAUUAGUAUUAAAAUUUUAAUAUUAUUUUAAUGUUAUUUUUAUUAAAUAAUAUUAAUAUUUUAAUGUUAUUUUUAUUAAAUAAUAUUAAUAUUUUAAUGUUAUUUUUAUUAAAUAAUAUUAAUAUUUUAAUGUUAUUUUUAUUAAAUAAUAUUAUUUUAAUGCUAUUUUUAUUAAAUAUUAAUAUUUUAAUGUUAUUUUUAUUAAAUAUUUAAUAUUUUAAUAUUUUAAAUUUUAUAAUAUAUAAGUGGAGUUAUUUUGAAUACUUUUUAUUUCAGUUCCAUUAACUAGAUUAUCUCUUGAUCUCCUUUAUAGUUUUUCUCUAAACUUUAGUUACCUACUUUCAGGAUUAUUUUAAACUUUUAUUUUAGGUUCAAGGGUACAUGAACAGGUUUGUUAUCUAGGUAAAUAGCAUGUCAUGAAGUUUUGAGGUAUAGAUUAUUUUGUCACCCAGGUAAUAAGCAUAGUACCCAAUAGGCAGUUUUUCAAUCCUUUCCCCACUCUCACUGUCGUCACUUAAGUAGGCCUUGGUGUCUAACAUUCUCUUCCUUGUGUCCAUGUGUUCUGAAUGGUUAGCUUCCAUUUAUAAAUGAGAACGUGGUAUUUUGUUCUCUGUUUCUACUUUAGUUUGCUUAAGAUAAUGGUCUCCUGCAGCAUACAUGUUUCUGAAAAAGACAUGAUUUCAUGCUUUUUUAUAACUGCAUACUAUUCCAUGGUGUAUAUUUAUCACUUUUUCUUUAUCCAGUGCACUAUUAAUGGUCAUCUAGGUUGAUUCCAUGUCUUUGCAAUUGUAAUUAGUGCUGCAGUGAACUUAUGCAUAAAUGUGUCUUUAUGGUGGAAUGAUUUAUAUUCCUUUCAGUACAUACCCAAUAAUGGAAUUGUUGGAUCAACUGGUCAUUCAUUCUGUGUUAAGUUCUUUGAGAGAUCUCUGAACUGCUUUCUGCAAUGGCUAAACUAAUUUAUGUUCCCAGCAACAGUGUGUAAGUGCUCCCUUUUCUCCACAACCUUAGCUGCAACUGUUAUUUUUUGACUUUUUAAUAAUAGUCCUUCUGACAGGUGUGAGAUGGUAUCUCACUGUGGUUUUGAUUUGCAUUUCUCUAAUGAUUAGUGACAUUAAGAAUUUUUUAUAUGCUUGUUGGUCACAUGUAUGUCUUCUUUUGAGUAGUGUCUUUGCCCACUCUUUAAUGGGGUUGUUUUUUGCUUGUUAAUUUGUUUAAGUUUCUUAUUGAUUCUAGAUAUUACACCUUUUUUGAAUGCAUAGUUUGCAAAUAUUUUUCACCAUUCUACAGGUUGUGUGUUUACUCUAUGUAUUUGUCUAUCCUUGUGUUGCUAUAAAGAACUACCUGAGACUGAGUAAUUUAUAAAGAAAAGAGGUUUAAUUGACUUAUAGUUCUGCAGGCUGUACAGGAAACAUGGCUGGGGAGGUCUCAGGAAACUUACAAUCAUGGUGGAAAGUGAAGAGGAAGAAGACACAUCUUACAUGACAGAAGCAGGAAGAAGAGAGUGAAGGGGUAAGUGCCACACACUUUUAAACCACCAGAUCUCAUAAGAACUCACUGUCAUGAGAACAGCAAGGGGGAUGUUUGCCCCUAUGAUCCAAUCACCUCCCACCAGGCCCCUCCUCCAACACUGAGAAAACUAUAAUUUGACAUGAGAAUUGGGUGGGGACACAGAGUCAAAUCAUAUCAUUCUGUUGGUAGUUUCUUUUGCUGUGCUGAAACUCUUUAAUUAGGUCUCAUGUGUCCGUUUUUUGUUGUUGUUUUUACAAUUGCUUUUUGUAUCUUUGUCAUGAAAUCUUUGCUAGGGCCUAUGCCCAGAAUGCUAUUUCCUAGAUUAUCUUCCAGCAUCUUAAUAGUCUUAUGUUUUACAUUUAAGUCUUCAAUCCAUCUUGAAUUGAUUUGUGUAUAUGGUGUAAGGAAGGGAUCCAGUUUCAAUCUUCUGCAUAUGGCUAGUCAGUUAUCCCACACCAUUUAUCGCAUAGGGACUCCGUUCCCCAUUGCUUGUUUUUGUCAGCUUUGUCAAAGGUAAUCUAAAUGGUUGUAGGCGUGUGGCAUUAUUUCUGAGCUCUCUAUUCUGUUCCAUUGAUUUACAUUUCUAUUUUUGUACCAAACCCAUGAUGUUUGGUUACUGUAGCCUUGUAGUAUAGUUUAAAGUUGGGUAACAGGAUGCUUCUAGCAUUUUUCUUUUUGCUUACUAUUGCCUGCUAUUUGGGAUCUUUUUUGGUUCUACAUGAAUUUUAAAAUAGUUUUUUUUUUCUAGUUCUGUGAAAAAUGUCAUUAGUAGUUUGAUAGGAAAAGCAUUGAGUCUGUAAAUUGCUCUGGACAUUAUGGCCAUUUUAACAAUAUUGAUGCUUCUUAUCCAUAAGCAUGGGGGGAUUUUCCAUUUGUUUGCAUCAUCUCUGAUUUAUUUGAGCAGUGUUUUGUAAUUCUCAUUGUAAACACGUUUCACCUCCCUGCGUAGCUAUAUUCCUGGGUAUUUUAUUGUUUUUAUGGCCAUUGUGAAUGCGAUUGUGUUCUUGAUUUGGCUCUCAGCUUGGAUAUUGUUGCUAUAUAGGAAUGCUACUUUUUGAACACUAAUUUUGAAUUCUGAAACAUUGCUGAAAUUGUUUAUCAAAUCAAGGAGGUUUUGGGUAGGGACUAUUUGGUUUUCUAGGUAUAGAAUCAUAUCGUCUGCAAAAGGGGAUUAUUUGACUUUCUAUUAUCCCAUUUGGAUGCUUUUUUUUCUUUUCUUUUGGCCAAUUAUUCUGCUUAGGACUUCCAGUAGUAUGUUUAAUAAAAAUAAUAAGAGAGGGCAUUCUUGUCUUGUUUUAGUUUUCAAGCGGAAUGCUUCCAGCUUUUGCCCAUUCUGGAUGAUGUUGGCUGUGAAUUUUUCAUAAAUGGCUCUUAUUAUUUGAGUAUGUGCCUUUGAUGCUUACUUUGUUGAGAGUUUUUAACAUGAAGGGACAUUGAAUUUUAUCAAAAGCCCUUUCUGCAUCUAUUGAGAUGAUCAUGUGAUUUUUGUUUCUAGUUUUGUUUAUAUAAUGAAUUACAUUGAUUGAUUUGCCUCUAUGGAACCAAUUCUUGCCUCCCAAGAAUAAAGCUUAAGAGAUUGUGGUCAUUUAGCUUUUCAAUGUGCUGCUGAAUUCAGUUUGCUAAUAUUUUGUUGAGGAUUUUUACAUCUUUGUUCAUCAGGAAUAUUGGCUUGUAGUUUUCUUUAUUGUUGUUUGUCUGCCAAGUUUUGGUAUCAGAAGGAUGCUGGGCUCAUAGAAUGAAUUAGAGAGGAAUUCUUCCUCCUAAAUGUUUUGGAAUAUUCACAGUAGGGAUUAUACCAGGUCUUCUUAAUAUGUCUGGUAGAAUUCAUCUGUGAAUCCAUCUGGUCCUGGGAUUUUUCUGGUUGGUAGGCUUUUUAUUACUGAUUAAAUUUCAGAACUCAUUAUUGGUCUGUUCAGGGUUUUAAUUUCUUCUUGGUGCAAUAUUGGGAGGUUGUAUGUUUUCAGGAAUUUAUCAGUUUCUUCUAGGUUUUCUAUGUCGUGUGCAUUUAGGUGUUCACAGUAGUUUCUAGGGGCUUUUUGUAUUUUUGUAGGGUUAGUGGUAGUGUUCACCUUUGUCAUUUCUGAUUUUGUUUAUUUGGAUCUUCCCCCUUUUUUCUUUAUUAUUCUGACUAGGGGUCUAUCUAUCUAAUCUAUUCCUUCAAAGGAUCAAUUCUUAUAUUUGUUGAACUUUUGUACAGUUUUCUGCUUCUCAAUAUCCUUCCAUUCAGCUUUGAUUUUUGUUAAUCCUUGUCUUCUGCUAGCUUUGAGGUUGCUUGCUCUGAUUUCUCUAGUUCUUCUAAGUGUGCUGUGAGAUUAUUAAUUGGAGGUCUUUCUAACUUUUUGAUGUGGCAUUUAGCAGUAUAAACACCCCUCUUAAUGCUGUUUUUACUGUGUCUCAGAGAUUCUGGUAUGUUGUAUCUUUAUUCUUCUUAACUUCAAAAAAUUUCUUGAUUUCUGCUUUGACUUUAUUGUUUAUACAAAGGUCAUUCAAAAGCAGGGCUUUUAAAAAUUUCCAUGUAAUUUUAUGGUUUUGAGGGUUUUUUAAGUAAUAAUUUCUAUUUUUAUUGUGCUGUGGUUUGAGAGUGUGAUUUGUAUGAUUUUGUUUUUGUUUGUUUGUUUUUGAUUUCCUGAGGAUUAUUUUAUGGCUAAUUGUGUUUUCUCUUUUGCAGUGUGUGCUCUGUGCAGAUGAGUAGAAUAUAUAUUCUGGUGUUGUUUGGUGGAGAGUUCUACAGAUGUGUAUUGAGUCCAUUUGGUCAAUGUUGAGUUUGAAUCCUGGAUAUUUUUGUGAGUUUUCUGCCUCAGUGAUCUGUGUAAUAUACUGUCUGUGGGGUGUUGAAGUCUACUACUAUUAUUGUCCAGUUAUCUACAUCUCUUCAUAGGUCUCUAAGAACUUGCUUUAUGAAUCUGGAUUCUCCUGUGUUGGAUGCAUAUAUAUUUACAAUAGUAACAUCUUUCUGUUGUAUUGAACCCUUUACUAUUCUGUAAUGUCUUCCUUUGUCUUUCUUGAUCAUUGUUGGUUUAAAGUCUGUUUUGACUGAAAUUCGACUGUCAACCCCAGCUAUUUUCUGUUUUCCAUUGGCUUGGUAGAUUUUUCUUCAUCCCUUUACUUUAAGCCUAUGGAUCCAUGUGAGAUAUGUCUGUUGAAGACAGCAUACAGUUGGAUCAUGC
rnacentral:lncRNA from 10 species